GACGAACGCUGGCGGCGUGCCUAAUACAUGCAAGUCGAACGCAUUUUCUUUCACCGUGGCUUGCUACCCCGACGGAAAAUGAGUGGCGAACGGGGGAGUAACCCUUCGGUAACCUGCCCAUCAGCGGGGGAUAACACUUGGAAACAGGUGCUAAUACCGCAUAAUUCCAUUUUCUGCAUGGUAGAUGGAUGAAAGGCGCUUUUGCGUCACUAUUGGAUGGACCCGCGGUGGAUUAGGUAGUUGGGGGUGUCACGGCCUACCAAGGCUGCGAGGCCGAACCGGCCUGGAGGGGUGAUCGGCCACCCUGGGAAUGAGACACGGCCCAAGCCCCUACGGGAGGCAGCAGUAGGGAAUCUUCGGCAAUGGACGCAAGGCUGACCGAGCAACGCCGCGUGAGUGAAGAAGGGUUUCGGAUCGUAAAACUCUGUUGUUAGAGAAGAACAAGGAUGGGAGUGGAAAGUUCAUCCCUUGACGGUAUCUAACCAGAAAGCCACGGCUAACUACGUG
rnacentral:rRNA from 1 species